rnacentral:rRNA from 1 species
UACAGAGGUCCCAAGCGUUGUCCGGAUUCAUUGGGCGUAAAGGGCGCGUAGGCGGCGCUGUAAGUCGGGUGUGAAAUUUCGGAGCUUAACUCCGAAACUGCAUUCGAUACUGCGGUGCUUGAGGACUGGAGAGGAGACUGGAAUUCAUGGUGUAGCAGUGAAAUGCGUAGAGAUCAUGAGGAAGACCAGUGGCGAAGGCGGGUCUCUGGACAGUUCCUGACACUAAGGCACGAAGGCCAGGGGAGCAAACGGG